UCGUUUUACUAUGCUAUUGUUCUUCAUGUGAUUAAUCGGUUGAUUUUGAUUAUGAAACGUAGUAUAUUACUUGAUGAUUGAUACAAAAAUAUUUUAGUAUCAUGCUUGUGAUAUUGUUGAUUAAUGGUUGUUUCAAAUGAGCUCACUCAUCUCUGGAAAUUGUGGCUACUGUUUCAGAUUAAGAUCAAUUUUUGUAUAUAUUAAAUGAACUUAUUAGAUUAUGUGUUCUUUAAAUUCAAUACUUUGGUUGGAUUGUGAUGUUACUAGUGUUAUUCUCCUCCAACUAUCACUUAUUGAGGUGGUGCUGCCAGGUGUUUUAGAAGUUGUAUUAUAACUUGUUUGAAGCAGUUUACGUCGUGCUUAAGUGUUAAAGUGAUAAGAGACGUAAAUCUCUACUCUAGUUUGAAGACAUUGCAGAGACAUAAGGUGUGUGAGUAUCAUGCUAAGGCACCUGCCGUACACAUUGCAGAGAUGCAGCAAAGGUUUUGUCAGCAAUGUAGCAGGCCACACCUAUCAAAAAUGCUUAGUCUCUUAUUUGGCGUAUCGAGGUGAUUUUGACUCCUACUCAUUUAGCAAUAGAAGAAAGUCUAAACUCAAUUACCUCACAAUCAACUAAGCCAUGGCUCUCGUAAGUCCAACCAACCAGAUUCACUCACUAUCUGCUUUACUCAAACACUAAAUCCAACUUCAGGGAGGUUGCAAUCAAAGGUAUUGUUGUUAUUCUGUUCCCUUUGGUGUUAUUGUUUUCAACUUCAUCAAGUAUUGUU